GGCCACGGUGCGACCGUUGUCGGUGCCGUAGGGAAGCCGUGAAGCGAGCCACCUGGGAAGUACGGCCGCAAGGCUGAAACUUAAAGGAAUUGGCGGGGGAGCACCACAACGGGUGGAGCUUGCGGUUUAAUUGGAUUCAACGCCGGAAAUCUUACCGGGACCGACAGCAAUAUGAAGGCCAGGCUGAAGACUUUGCCGGAUUAGCUGAGAGGUGGUGCAUGGC
rnacentral:rRNA from 1 species